CAGCAGCCGCGGUAAUACGAAGGGUGCAAGCGUUAAUCGGAAUUACUGGGCGUAAAGGGCGCGUAGGCGGCGAUCAAAGUCAGGCGUGAAAUUCCUGGGCUCAACCUGGGGGCUGCGCUUGAUACUUGGUUGCUUGAGUGGGGAAGAGGGUCGUGGAAUUCCCAGUGUAGAGGUGAAAUUCGUAGAUAUUGGGAAGAACACCGGUGGCGAAGGCGGCGACCUGGUCCUUGACUGACGCUGAGGCGCGAAAGCGUGGGGAGCAAACAGGAUUAGAUACCCCCGUAGUCCCUGUCUCUUAUAA
rnacentral:rRNA from 1 species